rnacentral:misc_RNA from 1 species
GUGACGACAUUUUUCCUUCUUGCAUCUUAAAACAAAAUCUUUACCAGUUCUAUGAAUAUUGUCUCAUAUUGGUAUAUUUGUGAAGAAGGUUUUAGAAAUCAAAGUAUGAUAUUUUAUUACCUUUACAAGAGUAUUUUUGGCAGCUGCAUUUUGAAAAUGCAUAAUAUGUACGCAUAUAAGAAGGCAUUUUGGGAGUUUUAAGCAAAUAGCUGACGCAGAG